CCAACGGUCCUUUUCAGGGCCACAUUCUGAUUUUGAUAUUGAUAAU
rfam:Trichinella patagoniensis scaffold131s, whole genome shotgun sequence.